GGCUCAGAACGAACGCUGGCGGCGUGCCUAACACAUGCAAGUCGAGCGAGAAAGCCCGCAAGGGUGAGUAAAGCGGCGCACGGGUGCGUAACACGUGGGUAAUCUUCCUUGGAGCCCGGAAUAACUCCCCGAAAGGGGUGCUAAUGCCGGAUGAGACCACGGGAUCCCCGGAUCCUGAGGGAAAAGGCGGCCUCUGUACACAAGCUGUCACUCCAAGAUGAGCCCGCGGCCCAUCAGCUAGUUGGCGGGGUAAUGGCCCACCAAGGCUACGACGGGUAGCUGGUCUGAGAGGACGAUCAGCCACACUGGAACUGAGACACGGUCCAGACUCCUACGGGAGGCAGCAGUGGGGAAUCUUGCGCAAUGGGCGAAAGCCUGACGCAGCAACGCCGCGUGUGUGAUGAAGGUCUUCGGAUCGUAAAGCACUGUCGGGAGGGACGAAUAAGGCGGCGGCUAACAUCCGCAGCCGAUGACGGUACCUCCAAAGGAAGCACCGGCUAACUCUGUGCCAGCAGCCGCGGUAAUACAGAGGGUGCUAGCGUUGUUCGGAAUUAUUGGGCGUAAAGCGCGUGUAGGCGGCCUUGCAAGUUGGGUGUGAAAGCCCUCGGCUUAACCGAGGAAGUGCGCCCAAAACUACAGGGCUUGAGUACCGGAGAGGGUGGCGGAAUUCCCAGUGUAGAGGUGAAAUUCGUAGAUAUCGGGAGGAACACCAGUGGCGAAGGCGGCCACCUGGACGGAUACUGACGCUGAGACGCGAAAGCGUGGGUAGCAAACAGGAUUAGAUACCCUGGUAGUCCACGCUGUAAACGAUGAGCGCUAGGUGUUGUGGGUGUUGACCCCCGCAGUGCCGCAGCUAACGCAUUAAGCGCUCCGCCUGGGAAGUACGGCCGCAAGGCUAAAACUCAAAG
rnacentral:rRNA from 1 species